ACGGCUCGGAAAGCGGCGCUCUUCGCUGCCGUUCUCCCCCACUCUCGCCUGGCCUGACCUGACCUGACCUUAUCCACCGCCCCGACGCGACGACUGGCCGCGAGCGACGCAGCCGCAUACCGCGCGCGUGAGCCCCCUUCCCCUCUCCCCACCACCCCGCCCCUGUUCCCCGGAAGCGCGCGAGCUGCCGCCGGAAUCAGCAGGCCGCGAAGAUGGUGGCCGCCUUCGCCGUCACUCCUCCGUCCUCCAUAUGCGGCGUCUGCAUCCCGACGGCAUGCCGGUCGGAGGCGCGGGGCACGGUGCCGGCGCCGAGGUUCUUCCAUAGCCGGAACCAAGCGAACAGACGGUCUGCAACAGCUUGGUCCUUGAAAGCCGGUCUAUGGGACUCUCUCAAAUCUGGGUUUUUAAAAACUAGCAAUAGUACAGAGACAGUAGAGCCACCAUCCACACCACUUGAAGAAGAAGAAAUUGUGCCUGAGGAAUUAGUGCUCCUAGAAAGGACACUCCCUGAUGGUAGCACAGAACAGAUCUUAUUUUCUUCAGCUGGUGAUAUUGAUGUAUAUGAUCUCCAGGCCUUAUGUGACAAGGUAGGAUGGCCACGCAGACCUCUGACAAAAAUAGCGGCAUCCUUAAGAAACAGCUACUUGGUCGCCACACUACAUUCAAUAACUAGGUCUUCGGAAACAGAGGGAGAAGAGAGGAAGCAACUAAUUGGUAUGGCACGAGCAACUUCAGACCAUGUGUUCAAUGCUACAAUUUGGGACGUCCUUGUCGAUCCUUCCUAUCAGAACUUGAUCAUUCCAGGGUCAAGGUCUUGGUAAAACACUCAUGGAGAAAGUGAUCCGUACUCUGCUCCAGAGGGACAUCAGCAACAUCACACUCUUUGCAGACAGUAAAGUGGUGGACUUCUACAAGAACAUGGGGUUCGAAGCUGACCCCCAGGGCAUCAAGGGCAUGUUCUGGUACCCCAGAGUUUAGCUCCGGUGGCAGCCCGGGCACCCGCCUCAUUUCCGCAAGACCGACGCCCGACGACCGGCACAGUCUGCUCCAGUGCAGAAGAAUAUUUCCAGGAGCUGAGCUGUGUAUAACAGUGACUCGAGUGGCCGAUGGCCAUUUGCAAUAUCUGGUGCGACCGGCUCUCUCCCAGUCCCAAGUCCUGUUGGUCUGUAUGUAACUGCUAGGAAAGUAAAGUAUCCCUGUUUUAGUACUGCGAAGGAGACAGCCACACCGAACAUUAUUAUACGACUGUGGAAGUCGAGAAAUUGUUCUUCCAAUCAA